rnacentral:rRNA from 1 species
CCUACGGGGUGCAGCAGUAGGGAAUAUUGGGCAAUGGGCGAAAGCCUGACCCAGCAACGCCGCGUGAAGGAAGAAGGCUUUCGGGUUGUAAACUUCUUUUGACAGGGAAGAGCAGAAGACGGUACCUGUCUAAUAAUCCACGGCUAACUACGUCCCAGCAGCCGGGGUAAUACGUAGGUGGCAAGCGUUGUCCGGCGUUACUGGGUGUAAAGGGCGUGUAGCCGGGCUGACAAGUCAGAUGUGAAAGCCGGGGGCUCAACCCCCGAACGGCAUUUGAAACUGUUGGUCUUGAGUAUCGGAGAGGCAGGCGGAAUUCCUAGUGUAGCGGUGAAAUGCGUAGAUAUUAGGAGGAACACCAGUGGCGAAGGCGGCUUGCUGGACGACAACUGACGGUGAGGCGCGAAAGCGUGGGGAGCAAACAGGAUUAGAUACCCCUGUAGUC